ACUGCAUUGGUUAAAAGAGAACGUCAUGGCCAAAAGUCGGCCAUAGGGCAGACAACCGGGCUGCUGGACGAUUGCAACUGCAAGAACCAAAUUGCAUUCAAACUUCUUGGUUGGCGUGGACGUCACGCACCUUUUAAGGGACGUUCAUUGCGUGUAUCUUCUACGACGUGUGUUGGCUAAUACGAGACGGAAAUUGGAAAAAACGAGAGGAUAAAGUUAUGUGCCUUUACACUUUUUUCGUUCACAGUGUUGCGAUUUAAACUUCUCCCAGCAUUGAAUGCUUAUUUUGUGUGUGUGUGUGUGUGUGUGUGUGUGUGUGUGUGUGUUCGAGAUAAAUCAUCUCGGGCUGUGCUAACAAUUUGUGCGGCAGGUCCAACUUUAGAAACAAGAUCGUGAAUUUCAUGUUGUUUCGGCUAUUGAAUUACUUGAGUAGUCUUGAUACUCAAACCAAAAAGAAAUAACAUUUGGCGCCCUUCAAAGUGUCACGUAUCUCCUCAAGUUUUAGAGGACGCAGCUCGUUUUACGACAUAGUCAGCUGUUUCCCUUUGGAUUGCACUCUGCUCGGCUUUCAGUUUUAUAGUGGGGCGUGGUUUCGAUGGAAACUAGCGACGGCCACGUCCUCGUUGCGUUUAUAGCCUCCAACGAGCUGGACGAGUUUCUUUGCGUCCUCAAACAGCAUUCCAAUCUCUCGCAUACAUCAAACUAUGGUCCCCUAGAAAAAUGAUAAAAUUAUCCGUUUAUGCCCAUCCUCUUUCCUCUUUUCUGUUGUUGUGUCGUUAAAAUCCCACGCUUUAAAAAACGAAUCACGAUUGCCACUGUUAUUUGCAUCGAUCCUUUAUAAAGUCUUAACAAAGAGUAGACGCCAUACCGACAGAUUAGUCAUUGACGUCAUCCCAUCACGCAGCGUCCCGCGUCUGUUGUUGCAAGCCGGUUGGUUUGUGUGUGUUAUUUGAAUGAUGCUAAAGUGACGUUUUUUUCAAAUUAUAAGUUGCUAAUUGCAAAUGUGAAAAAUACGAAGAAAAAUUGGGCUGACGGACUACUGGCAGGUGACAACAGAGUUGCCAACGAGGACAUCAGAUCGUUGAACAUCACGUGUCUUUCGCCCUUGAAGUGGAAAACUCGACGGCUAGAGGGAUAUCGUCACGUCAUUAUCCAAGAAAUAUUCCAUUACCUCGUUCAUAUCCUUCCAUUCUAAAUCUCCGACGACCAUUUUUGAGUCUUUCAACGAAGUACGUCGUGGAUGUCCUUGGUUCAAAAAGACGUCCUUAUUUUUUGGCCCUGUGAAUGACCAAUCUAGUCUUUAACUGCUCCAACGACUAAUAAGUUCUCUCCUGCAUUUCCCCCAGUGCACCAGUAAAAGAAGAAUAUGAUAGCUUGCAAAAGCACGAAAAAAAUGGUCAAACACAAGCAAACAGAAAACAAGAUCGAAGCAUUUUUCGCUACUGGGAAACCUUCUUUUUCAAAGAUAAGUGAUAAAUGGCGGUUGAUCGGCAGCCUCUUCAAAAUAGACCCGAUCGUCGAACGAUUCGAUUCGGUCAAAAAGCAAAGCAGCAAAGUCUUGCCAAUUCUCUUCAAAAAGAUGCGUUAUUCAUAACAAACAACUGGCACCGGACGCGUAGGCUAAUGAAAACAUCACGGCCGGCAGUCUGCAGUGCCGGAGAUGACCGCGGACAGCUGGACCACAUAGCUCCCAGCAUCAAAGUUGGACUCGAAUCGACUUAUAGAAGCGAAUCCGAUCCUUUCUCUCUGGCAACGGCAGCGACACCCCCAUUUUAGUUGUUUCUCAUCGACACAAAACUGUCCCUUACCCACUCGUCUAUAUGCUCUUAAGAUCGAGAACAACAUUCAGGUAGCGUCAUAGCAAACCCUUACUCCUUUUUUAAAUAUUUAGAGCUUAGGCAGGAGGCUGCUGUCGAAACACAAGUUGUUUGCUUGCUGCUGAAGUGCUUCACUUCAGCUGGCAUUUUGCCCCUCUUUCAACGCCCUCUUCAGUGAUACUUUGUGGUCACGGUGGAACAGUUGAUUACCGACCGCAACAUCCUUAUUUUCAUUUAGUGACAGUGAAGCAGUGAAAAUUUCAAACGGAAGAUGCAGAGAAAUCGAGGGAAGAACUGCUCAGUGAUUAAUCGUUUCUUGUUUUAUCUAACAGUUUAAAAGCUAAUCAAGUAAAUGUUAUGUACGAUUGAGCGAGAGAAAAAGAUUGUGCAGUGAACGCGUU
rnacentral:misc_RNA from 1 species